CCCUUCUCCGUUAAACGGAGCUUGGUGAUGUGGCAAACGGAAGUCCAACGUGGCAUCCGUAUUAGGCUAUCAAUCCCGUUUUGUCCAUGUAUCCCCAAUUCAACAAACCCUAAUUGCCCAAUUCAGAUGAAUUGACGAAAUUAACCCUAAGUGAAACACCAUAUUUAACAAAGACUAUGUUGGACGCGCGAAACUGAAGAGUUUGUGGGUGGUCGUCUCUGUUUCUCUUCGUCUGUUGUCGCUUUAUAUUUGUUUCUUGGAUUUGGCAACGUCACAUGCAGUAUCACGUUUGGCGUUGAUAUGGAGUGAAGAAGUCGCUGUUGAUCAACCAAGGUUUUGAUGGCUACGCACAUCACAUUUGUUUAUCACCAUCGGGGUUGGUUAAAGAAGGAUGCAGAUGGUGUGCUGAAGUAUAAUGGUGGUUUAGUGAGUAUCAUCGAGAGGGUGCAUGUUGAUACUUGUAAUCUAUUCCUUGUUGAAGGCUUGUUUCUAGAUUUAGGUUAUACUAGGUUUAAUGAAGUUUAUUGGUUGGAGCCAGGGAUGGAUUUAGCUAACGGGUUACGGGUGCUCAGAAGGGAUGCCGAUGUGGUUAAGAUGUGUGAUGCUGCACUGAGGAAUGAAAACAGGGUCCACUUGUAUUUUGAGCAUCCAGUUGAUACAGAUCCAUAGUAUGUUGAUGAGGCUGAGGUUUUGGCUAACGAAGAUGUUGACAUGCCUCCUUUAGAAGACCAGCAAAAUCAUGACCAGGAACCCCAACAAAAUGAAGAGGAGGGAGGAUUUGAACAUACAGAAGUAGAGGGAGCUCCUUUAUUAAAUGAAGCAAAUGAACAAGACGAUCCCCCACAGCACGAGGAGCAACAACAAGAAGAGGAUGAACCAACAUUGAACAACGGGGGGUAUGAUGAAGCAUUGCCAGAGGAGGCUGGUACUGAAAAUCUUUCUAAUCAAACUGAGGCUGGAACAAUUGAAAAUGAGGCCCCCAAUUUAGGAGACAAUCAGCAGACACAUGUUGAAGACCAUGAGAGGCUAUCUAAUCGUGAAGAAGUUGAUGGCAGGGGAAGAAAACACAGGAAGAAACAUGCGAGGCCCCCACCAUCUGGUAGAGAUCAACCUGCACCACAAAACAAUAGUGAUGCACAUGCUGGAAUGCGUAAUGUUGUUGAAUUAGAUGAGGAUGCCUCUUGUGGGGUUCAAGGUCGGAGGAUUCAUCGAAGACCCCGUCCAUCUGGCCAGAGGAUUCUGCCACCUAGGGAAGAGAAUCAGGCCGCAAAGGGUGGUUGUUCCUAACCCAAAUGAUCAUGAUGAAGAGCCUACUGAAUAUCAGUAUCAUUCUGAAGAACUGCACACCCCACCAGGUUCUAAUUCUGAGGAUGAAAAUCCAGUAUUUCCUCAGCAUAAUCCUGAUACAAAGUUUGGCAAAAUUAGACUGGAGUUAGGGAUGGAGUAUGGCACGAUGAAGCAGUUUAAGGAUGCAGUCAGGAAGUAUAGUAUUCAGAUGGGGAGAGAAGCAUUUUUUUCUCAAGGUUGAACCACAUAGGUACAGGGUCAUCUGUUACAAUGAAACUUGUCCAUGGGAAGUUUACUGUCCAAGGAGAAACCAGCCACCUAGUUACCAAAUAAAAAUAUUGGUCGAUGAGCAUACAUAUCCUAGGAGUAAUAAAAGCAGGUUAGUCACUUGUAAAUGGGUGGCCGAGGAGUUGAUUAGCAAGAUUAGGGUAUGUCCUAACUUGUCCCAUAGAGAGGCUCGAGAUAUGUUCAAAGUUGAGUUUGAUAUCUAUGUCGGAGAGAGGAUGAUGUUUAGGGCAAUGGAGAAGGCUAAGGAUGUCAUCGAGGGAACAGAGAAGGAACAAUAUUUGAAGUUAAGGACUUACUUGACUGAGCUGUGUAAGGCCAAUCCAGGAUCCACUUGCCGUAUGAGCACAACCCCACAACAAGAGGGUCUGCCUAAGUUUAGAAGUCUAUACAUCUGUCUAGAUGCCUGCAAAAGGGGAUUCAAGCAAGGAUGUAGGCCUUUCCUAUGCCUUGAUGGAGCAUUUUUGAAGGGUUAUUUUGGGGGGCAGCUACUUACAGCCGUUGCUCAGAACGCUAACAAUCAUCUAUUCCCAGUUGCAUAUGGAGUAGUUGAUGCAGAAACAACGACCAAUUGGAAAGAAUUCCUAGAGUAUUUGUUGGAAGAUAUCGGGGAUCAUAGGCAAUUCGACUGGCACUUCAUGUCUGACAAACAGAAGGUUAGCCCUUAAAUUGUGUGUACAAUUAUUUUAUAGUAUAUUAUGUCUAACUUAGUUAUUUACAGGGGCUAAUACCUGCUCUACAAUAAGUUAUUCCAGGGGUUAAACACAGGUUCUGUACUAUGCAUAUGUGGAGGAAUUUUAACAAGCGUUGGAAAGACCUAGAACUUAAACAGUUGCUAUUUCAAUGUGCAAGGGCACUGACUGAUCAGAAAUUUAAUGAAGGUAUGGAUGCCAUCAAGAGAAUUAAUACUUCUGCUUGGGAAUAUCUGUCUAAGAAUGAGCAAGAAACUUGGUCAAGAUCAAGAUUCUCCACUUGGCCUAAAGUGGAUAACAUAACGAACAACAAUGCGGAGUCACUUAAUGCAACCAUGGUGGGGCUAAGAGGCAAGAGCAUCAUAACCAUGCUAGAGGAGAUUAGAUAUUACCUCAUGAAGACUAUGGCUAUGCACAAAGAUGCACUCAUGACCUACACGGGUAAACUGGCGCCUAUCCAAACCAGCAGAUUGGAGAAGGAAAAGAAGGAAGGAAAUUACUGGGAAGCUCAAUGGGUGGGAGACGAUGAGCACAAUGUCUUUGAAGUUAGAAGGCAUGGUCGAACAGUUCGGUAAACACUCACGAAAGGACUUGUACUUGUAGAAAGUGGCAACUGACAGGUCUGCCUUGCUAUCAUGGAGUUGCUGCAAUUCAAAGAAAAAAUCAACGACCAAAAGAUUAUGCCCACCAUUGGCUGACUAUGGAAUCAUACAAUAGAACAUACCAAUUUCACAUCAACACUGUCCCUAGUCAAGAAUAUUGGGCUGAUGCAGAAGGGCUGCCGUGUCUCCCUCCCCCUUAUAAGAGGCCAAUAGGAAGGUCUACAAAGAAGAGAGGACGACAUGAAUCAGAGAGACAAAGUGGGAGCCAGUACAAAAUCAAGAGGAGCUAUGAAAAAAUAAGUUGUAAAUUUUGCAAGAAGCUGAGGAAGAUGAAGAUGCACAACAAGCACCUCAAGCAGGUCAGCCAGCAACAGGAGGAAUUGUGCCACCCAGGGGCUUACAAGACAUGUCAGACUCAGAGCAGGAGAUGUUUUGAGAAGAAACCAUGGAUGCAGUUGAAGAGGAGCUCACCCAAGGCCACCCACAAUCUGAAGCUGAUGAAGAGGCCAACAUGAACACAUCCGGGGCAACAACUCAUGGUGAAGGAGGGAGAGCUGCUAGAUCCAACCCUGCAAGGAGAGCACCAAGAUCUGAAACUCCCUCCAAUGCUGCUGCGGCUGCUGCUGCAUCUACUAGCAAGGAAAGAUCCAGGGUAAAGAUGCCUAUUAGGAGACACCCCUUAGCCUAGCCAAGUAUGAGGCCCACAUCUACAGUUCCAACAGCCCAACCCAAUGUUAGGCCCAUAGCUCUAGGCCCACCAGCCACUCCAAGGCCCAACCCACCAUUUAGGUCCCCACAUAUAAGGCCCGUUGCACCUUCUACAAAUGCUGCUGUUGGUUCAGGAGUUUCAGACUCCACAAGGACUCCACUUGUGUCAAAUGAAACCAUGAAUGGUGCAUCUAAAGUAACCACUUCUAGGUUCUCAAAGUUCAUGCCAAAUCAGCCAUCUUGAGAGAAACUUUGGUGCAUAAUUAGUUGAUCUUUUGGGUUAUAAGUUGAUAUUUAAUUGCAGUGGUUUAUGUAGUUUUUGGGUUGUAUGUUGAUAUUUAGUAUGGUUGGUUAUUGCCUUUUAUUGGACAAUUUUAGUAUUUUGAUAUCUGGUAUUAAGACUGAUUAGCCAGUAUCUAGUAUUUUGGAUGGAACAAUUAGUUCUAAUGCUUAAUGUUAUGCAGACCAAUUACUUAAUCUUGUGCCUUUACCAAUUUUUAUUUCUUAGGUCUAUUUGAAAUUAGUUAACAUAUCUCAGUUACCUUUUUAGU